UAGCCGUAAACGAUACUCGCUAGGUGUCGGCCACGGUGCGACCGUUGUCGGUGCCGUAGGGAAGCCGUGAAGCGAGCCACCUGGGAAGUACGGCCGCAAGGCUGAAACUUAAAGGAAUUGGCGGGGGAGCACAACAAACGGGUGGAGCCUGCGGUUUAAUUGGAUUCAACGCCGGAAAUCUUACCGGGACCGACAGCAACAUGAAGGCCAAGCUGAAGACUUUGCCGGAUUAGCUGAGAGGAGGUGCAUGGCG
rnacentral:rRNA from 1 species